GGAGUACAUAAUAAGCGACCAAAACCGCGCGAAGCCUCCAUUAUCCAGCAGAAGUAACGAACACCGCACCUUCCUCGCCUCAGUCACCGCCGCCGCUGCCGGCGCUCUCCGGUUGCCCGUUGUUUGUACAACAUGAUCCCGUCUCCCGCUCGAAUCCUCAUCUUCCUCCUACCCACCCCAAGUCUCAUACCCCCGCCACCCGUCAGGCGGCCGCACAGAGCCUGGGCCGGAACCGCCCGCUGCGCCCCGGAGGCUGUCGCCGGCGGGGGCUUCGUCGUCAUUGAGGACGACCUCUCUGAGCUUCUGCAGAUUCUACCUAGGGAUUUACGAGAUAAUCUGCAGAAUGAACCUAGAAGGGACCAGCUGUUGGAGGUUAUUCUAGAUUUGGGGAGACGACCCGAGGCACGUUUCCUUGGUAAUUCUGGUGGCCAGUAUCUACGGGAUAACGAGAUUUCACAGCUAGAGUUGGAGGAAGCUCAGAGAGCUGUUGGAGAAUUUGGAGGUGACAACCGUGCAGGAAUUGAAGGUACAUUGCAUAGAAUAUCUGCAAUAAGGAGUAGAAAAGGAAUGGUUGUUGGUUUGACCUGUCGAGUUGGCCGUGCCGUCAAUGGGCAUGUUGAUAUGGUCCGUGAUCUUUUAAACUACAAAGAGAGCAUUCUGUUUUUGGGAAGACCUGGGGUUGGCAAGACUACUGUUAUGCGUGAAAUUGCACGUGUUUUAGCGGACGAGUUCCAGAAAAGGGUGGUAAUUGUAGAUACAAGUAAUGAGAUUGGUGGGGAUGGGGACAUUCCUCAUGCUGCAAUUGGUGGCGCAAGAAGAAUGCAAGUACCUGAACCAUCAAUGCAACAUAGAGUGAUGAUUGAAGCAGUUGAAAACCAUAUGCCUGAGGUGGUCAUUGUAGAUGAGAUUGGAACUGAGGCAGAGGCGCAAGCCUGUCGGUCAAUUGCAGAAAGGGGUGUAAUGCUUAUUGGUACUGCCCAUGGAGAAAGGCUUGCAAACAUCAUAAAGAAUCCAGUUUUAUCUGACUUGAAAUUUCACAUGGUAUCAGAAAUGCCAAACUUGAGCUUGUUCUCUCAUAAGUAGUUCACCUUCUUCUAUCUUUAGGUUGGAGGAGUAGAAACUGUCACUCUUGGCGAUGAGGAAGCACGUGCACGACGUACUCAAAAAAGUAUACUGGAGCGGAAGGCCCCUCCAACAUUUCCUUUUCUUAUUGAGAUGAGGGAGCGACACUAUUGGGUCACUCAUCGGACUGAGAGGAGUGUCGAUAUGCUACUUCAUGGCAAGAAGCCACUAGUUGAGGUCAGGAAAAGGGAUAACGAGUUUGAGGUUAUCAUUGAAAGAUGGGCAACAUAUGAUGGAGAUGGACUCUGAAUCCCAAAUUUCAAGUUAUUAUUUCUUCUGCCAUGCUUCAUUUUCUUCAUACUUGCGGUCUUUGUGGAUAUUUGGUACAAAUUCUAUGGAGCUUGUUAUUCUAACGUACUGUAAUGGUGAGAUCCUGGUUCCUAAAGUUUGUUGAGCUUAUUUAGCAGAGUA